AAAUCUCACGGCUUAACUGUGAGCGUGCGGGCGAUACGGGCAGACUUGAGUACUGCAGGGGAGACUGGAAUUCCUGGUGUAGCGGUGGAAUGCGCAGAUAUCAGGAGGAACACCGGUGGCGAAGGCGGGUCUCUGGGCAGUAACUGACGCUGAGGAGCGAAAGCGUGGGGAGCGAACAGGAUUAGAUACCCUGGUAGUCCACGCCGUAAACGGUGGGUACUAGGUGUGGGUUUCCUUCCUUGGGAUCCGUGCCGUAGCUAACGCAUUAAGUACCCCGCCUGGGGAGUACGGCCGCAAGGCUAAAACUCAAAGAAAUUGACGGGGGCCCGCACAAGCGGCGGAGCAUGUGGAUUAAUUCGAUGCAACGCGAAGAACCUUACCUGGGUUUGACAUGCACAGGACGCCGGCAGAGAUGUCGGUUCCCUUGUGGCCUGUGUGCAGGUGGUGCAUGGCUGUCGUCAGCUCGUGUCGUGAGAUGUUGGGUUAAGUCCCGCAACGAGCGCAACCCUUGUCUCAUGUUGCCAGCGGGUAAUGCCGGGGACUCGUGAGAGACUGCCGGGGUCAACUCGGAGGAAGGUGGGGAUGACGUCAAGUCAUCAUGCCCCUUAUGUCCAGGGCUUCACACAUGCUACAAUGGCCGGUACAAAGGGCUGCGAUGCCGCGAGGUUAAGCGAAUCCUUUUAAAGCCGGUCUCAGUUCGGAUCGGGGUCUGCAACUCGACCC
rnacentral:rRNA from 1 species